rnacentral:rRNA from 1 species
CWAUAAGGAUACUAAUUUGACUAGAGUUUAAUGUGAGGGGGCACUAAAGUAYUGAUAAGKGUAGAGAUGAAWUUCUGUGAUACAAUAUACGGCACUGGCAAAGGCGAAAGCAUCUCCUUAUGUAAUAACUGACGUUGAGGGACGAAGGCUUUGUAUAGCAAAAAGGAUUANAUACCCAAGUAGUCCUAKCAGAAAAUUAUGAAUGUCAUAGGAUAGAAAUAUUUUGUUCUAUAAAUGAAWGUGUAAKCAUUCCACCUCRAGAGUAAUUUGGCAACRUUGGAACUGAAAUCAUUAGACCGUUUCUGARACAAGUAGUGAAGUAUGUUGUUUAAUUUGAUGGUCCGCAAAAAACCUUACCWCAAUUUGAAUAGAAAAAUUUUUUUCAUACAAGCGCUGCACGGUUGUCUUCAGUUAAUGUCGUGAGAUUUUGGUUAGUUCCAUUAAAUUAACGUAAACCCUUACUUUAUUUUYACAUAGAGUAGUUCACCGCUWGAUUGGAUAUGAUMACAGGAACUARGACAAGUCAUCAUGGCCUUAAUACUGUGGGCUAUAG